AAAUGGGAACAUGGUGUUGCUGGGACCCCGGAGCUGAUGGGACCUUGUUUAAUUCUGAAGGAAUGUGCGCGGGUUCUGGCCCAGCAGAGCAGGCCCUGGCCUGACAAAGCCCCUGGCCAGUGGGGGCUGCCUCUGGAACAGGGAGUUUGGCUGGUCAGAGGCAAGCUGUUCCGGAGAUGACAAUCAUAUGAUCAGGUCCCGUUUCUGCGUUGGGAUCCCCCUGAGCAGACAACGCCAGGUCAGCCUGAGACGGCUCUUUGCUCACAGGCCUGCGGAACCAGAUGAGCCUGGGAGACCGAGACAGAGGCCGGGCCCUAACCCAGCCCACGACCCGGCCCGUCCUUUGUCGUCUUGCCCAGAGUGGCCCUGGCCUCAGCAGUGGGCUUCUCGUAUCUCAUCCACUGACAACAACAAGCAGCAUCUGUCACCGGAAGCCCAUGUUAAUCCACAGGGCAGAGGAAGGGAGCCCUAGAGCGUGUGUGCAUGCUGCAGGAGUGUGAUCUCUGUUUAGGCCUUGGGGGGAGUUGGGGUGCAGGAUACCGCCCAGCCUGGGUGUGUGCAUACUGUGGUCUGUGUCCAUCCAGCGCAGCGUGAGGGCACAUGCAGUCUGGUUCUGCUGGCCCCAGGGCCUGGCCUAUAGUGUGUGUCUGUUUGUUGAGGGAAUAAGAGUGAACAUCAGCCCAACUGAGGCCCCUGGUGCAGAUGGCCUUCCAGAAAUGGCAGCCAUAGCCAGCUAAAGGUGUCCUCCCUAGAGGCCUGGGUCUCUUCAGUGUAUUGACACCAUCUUAGCUGUCACUCCCACCCUGCCCCAAACACCCAGGGCAAGCCUGAUGGUGUCUGGCUGUGCCUGUGACUCCACCCUGUCCCUCCCCCAUGUCCUUGGCCUCUGCAGGCUGGAACCGCAGCUCCCUUUGCCUAUUCUGAGCUCAGUGCUUCCUGCGGUUAUGAAGUAAAGCCUUGAGAACAUCCCCGGAAAAUGGGCUUGUCCUGGAGGUCGGGGCAGCUCCUGGCCUUGGGAAGGUCCUGGGUGAUGGGGCAGGAGUCUGGCUAAGCAGACGGGCUUCCCUUCUGGAGGUGAAGGUGAUUAUAGUCUUGUGGAGUCAGCAUUAUCUGCUAGUUUGGAGUUUUCCAAGCUGGGGAUGGUAAACCUCUCUGGCAGGCAUGAUGUCAGGGUCCCCAGUGACUGGCUGUGCCUGCAGGAGCCAGAGGCCUGAUGAAUCAUGUGGGCCAGGAUCUGGGCUCCUACACUCAUGGGCCAGACUGUGGGGCUCCUUGGCCAGGGCCCGAGUGGGCUUGGGGGUGCUGCUUGCCUUAUGCCCUCCCUCAGCCUCUAUAUCCAUUCCCUCGCCCCUCUGCCUCUCCCUCCCUGGGCGCCCACACAGGCAGCUCUGCUUGUGCUUUCCCAGGUUCUGGAAGCUUUCUGGGCCCAUCAGGGGACCUGAGCUCCUGUCUCCGAUGGGUUUGCUGCACCCAAAUAACUUGAGCCCCAGCAAAACGUACUGUUUGGCUGGUGGCAGUCUUCCUCAGAAUGCCCUGAGCCGUACACCCCUUCAUCCUCCUGGCACAUUUGAGGAGUACCUUCCUUCCCGUGAUGGUUUCAUCCUCAUACAGAUCUAAAGCAAUACUGGGCCCCUCCACACUGCAGCCUGAGGCAAAAGGGAGCAUCAGUAAGACCGGUCCUCUAUUUAAAAAUCUCGUAUUUCCUUCAGCCAUUAUCAAUAUUUUGCGUGAGUUUUCAUUUAAAAAAAUAUUGCAUUCAAAUCUGAUUUUCUUGCCUGCUGAAGCCUCAGGUGAGCGCGUGGAGACCGACUCUGCUGCCCGUGUGGAACAACCCCCACAUUUGCGCUCCUGCCAGUUUGGGGCCCCCCUUUGCUGCGAAUGGCAGUUUCCCGCCCCUUGUCACAUUCCAUCUUCUGGCACAGCCUUCUGGAGUGCAUUAGCCAUCACUGGUUUCUCCUUCCCACAGCUGGGGAGCUGAAGCAGAAAGGUUUUCCUGCAGCUCCCACCUCCUCCCACCUCAGAAGACCAGCCGUAGGGAAGGGGCUCCCUGGGAGGAUGAAUUAGAACAAGGCACAGAGAGAGCCAUGGACCCAUCUGGCACCUGGACUUUCCCGGGGCUCAGCUAAUUCUGAGGAAGGAAGGGACAGGAACGAGGGCUUCAGGUAAGAGUGGCACCUUUGAUCCUGGUGAGGCUCUGAGGCAGAGCAGAGAAACCCUGCAGUGCCCAGGACGUGGUGCAAAAGGUGGAAAUCCGGGGAGGCGUCUACCCAGGAUGCCCACCUAGAGGGCCCAGCAUAGGCAGGCUUUGGGUGGAGGGCUGGGUUGAUGAUGGGGAGCUGGAAUGUGAGUGAGGAGUGGAUAGUCCUGAAUGCAGAUCAUUCCCCCAGCUGGAGUCAAGCUAAUGGGCAGGGCUGAGGGAGUGGCCCCAGAUCACACUCCAAAUCCCACACUGGCAGAUCUGUGGUGUUGAACCCCUCUUUUCCUUGCAGUCUUGCUCUUCUUAAUUUGGCUAACUUAAUUUGGGUAAAGCUCAUUGAUAAAACUCAUCUGAAAACAUCAGUAGCUGAUUGCAGUAAACUUUAACAUCCCCCCACAAGGGGCUGAGGGGGUUGUUCGUGCUGGCUGGCAGGAGGCCUUCCAUGCAGUGAUUCGGGGAUCUAGGCUCUGUGAGUCUGGUGGUUCUGCCCUUCCUUACGUCCCCAAGUUCUCUGCAGCUGUCCAAUGGGCAGACAGGGAGGGGCAGGUGCAGCGAUUGUGACCUCUUCUAAUCAACCUGGCCUGAUGGGACCACUCGUGCUUCCACUCCAGCCCCGAGAACAAGUCACGCGGCCCCUCCUGGAUGCAAGAGGGGCUGGAAAGUGAAGGCUCUACAUGAUGGAAGAGAGAGCCCCGGUUUCUGGUGGCCAUCUCUGCCAGCUCCCACUCUGGGGAGAGCCAAGCCAUGGGCCUCCUUUCCCCCCACCAGACCCCCACCCUUCUGCCACCUGCCAGUUGCUGUAGCUGAGUCCUGAGAGGGCUCCCAAAAAAGAGUAGAGGAAAAUAACCUCGACCCUCUCUAGAGAGUGACCUAGGGAGACACACUCGAAGGGACAGUGCACCAUGGGCUUACACUUAGCCCACUCCAACCAGCCAGGCUUGGCCUGGAGGAAUAGAGCUCAGUGUGUAAGCCAGGCCUGCAGUCUGGAUCUGGAGAGAGUGUGGGAAGAUGGACCAGCUAAGGCUUCCUGGAGCUGGGAGUGAUCUCAGAGGGAUGUCGCAGGGUCCUGUGGACAGCUCUCCCCAUGUGCUUCAUCACUCUGCUGGUGAAACCCAAAGUCCCUGAUGGUUAGGACUGGACUGAGGGAAAGAGGCAUGGGUGGGACGGGGGCAGGACAUGUCUUAUUAUCUGACCAGGCUUCUUUGCACACCUGCUGGCCACUGAGGAAGAUAUGAAGGAGAACAAGGCCAGCUGGGCCUCAAGAUAUUUGUGAGUUUAUGGAGAAAAUGAUCAAACUUCUGUACUUCGGUCUGAAGCAGGAUAUGCAUCAUGCCCUUCCAAGAGGAGGGGUAGAUGGUGAAGGUCAGAGGGGAGGGGCUCACAUGAGCAAGUCAGGCCUUCCCUUUGGGGCAAUCACAGAAGGCUUCCUAGAGGCUGAGGCUUGAAGGAUGCAGAGGGAAGAAAUAGUGUUCCCACAUGUGUGGUGCUUUAUUAUUUCCAAAGCCACAGAGGAAGGCAAGGUAGAGAGGGUGGCAGGGACAAUGCCUUCCAUUUGACAGGGGAAGAAGCAGAAGACCAGAGAGGCUAAGCUCUUGGCCCAAAGUUGCACAGGAGGUGAUGAAUGAGAAGGCAGGUGUCGGCCUAGCGGCUCUGGGUUUUUUACAUGAGUCUGAUAAGCACGUUUCUCCCUCAAGGCUGGUCAGGCUCGGUCCUCAGGUGUGGCUGGGCAACUCCCAGGCAGGGAGCCGAUCCUCCCUGGGGGCUUCUCAGGGCUGGGUGCUCAGCCUCCCCUACAGAACAUGUGUUUCCUGUUUUCCUUUUCCCCCUGGCUUAGGACAGAGAACAGGGUUUUCCUGAGCGGAAGACCCUCAGAGACCUGGCCUGCUACCAGCUAGCUCCGGCUGAACGCUUGCUCACGGUUCUCGUUACUCAGAAUGUUGAACCCCCUCACCCUCCCUCCCAACGGUCUGUGUGGCCAUUAUGUACCCUCCCCUGCCCCACUCCCAAACUCCCAAGACCUGGAAUUCAAAUCCAGAGCUGGGACUCUCCCCUUUGUAUUCUCAGAAGACCCUUCGCUGAUCAGCCGAGUUUCUUGGGGAGACCUGGGGUUUGCGCUGCUUUGGAACCUAGGAGCCGGAGCUCUGGGGCAGGGCUUGGCCCUGGGGUUUGGGCACUGAGCCAGGACUCUGGCCAAUCCUACAGCCAUUAGAAGUUCAGAGCCCCGAGAGCUCUCCCAACUCCUCACCCCCACACUGUUUCCCACUGUCCUGGGGCAGAGGCUAGGGCCAGUGGGUGACAUGACCCAGCUGUCCAGCCUGUGUCACGUGAGGCGAGGCGGGGGAGACCUAGGGCUCACUCUGCUGAAUCAGACUUGGCAUCUUGUCCCACAGUAGGGUUCAGGGCGCCCCCUGCUCCUCAGAUGCAAGAGGGGUGCAGGAUGAAAGUGGGAAGGGCAAGAGAACAUUCCAGAUCUGCAGAGCCUUGGCCCCUGGGUGUGGGCGUGAGCUGUGAAGAAGAAAGGCAGGGUUUCACAGAAGCAGAAUACAAUGCUGGCUACCAUUCUGUUGGGAGGAGAAGCAAAUGGAGGGGUGCGGGAUGUAGGUCAAAGGGAACACUAUUUUCAGUGAUAAGAAGAGUAAGUUCUGAGGAUCUAAGGUAGGGCAAGGUGAUUAGUUCAUAACAUGGUUUUGCAGACUAGAAAGUUGCUGAGAGUAGAUCCAAGUGUUCUUAUCACACGAGCCGGAGUUCACUUACCUGUGCAAGGCCACGGCUGUAUUAACUCUCUUGAUCUUAGUACUAGCCCUACAAUGUACAUGUGUAACAAAUCAUCACAUUGUAUACCUUAAAUCGAUACAAUUAUGGUUGUCAAGUAUUUCUCAAUAAAGUUAAAAAAAAAAUCGGUAUUGGCUACACUCCCCAGCAUGGCUCCCACCCUGCCUCAGAGAAGAGGAGGAGAGGGUCUUCCCAUUUCCUCGCCUGCCCCACCCACCCCACCUCACCCCUGUGCCUCCACUACUCAGCACCACCUGCCCCUGCUGCUGCCCCUCUAUCCCAGGAGAACCUGGUCCUGUGUUUGAGAAUGGCUCUUGGGGAGGGUGGUGUGUGUUUCUGUCAGAUGAGGUGCUGGGUUUGAGAGGACUUUAGGGGGGCAAAGGCGGGUCUGGGUACGUGGCUCAGUAUGGGUGCCUGUGGGGGCUGGUGAGAUGUGACAGCCGGGCCCUGCCUUGGCCUAUAGCUGGGAGUGGGGAAAACUGCCUCUGAUAACCCGGCCUUGGGCUUUGAAAUCCCCCUUCCUCACCAGGGCUUUAGGACAGCCCGGUUUAUUAGGGACAGGUUUAUCUGGGGCUGACUUAGCUUGUUAAGAUAAUUGUGGCAGAGGGAGGCUGCAGCCCUGGGGGUCCCGCCCUGGAUAAUUACUGUCCUUUCUCUUUCAUCUCUGAGGGCUGUGCCCCUUCGCGCUUCCUGGGCCCUUUCGCUGGGGUCCUUCCAAGGCCUCGGGAGGGGCCCUGGAGAUGCUUUCGUGUGGUCUCAUGUUUUUGUUACACUUGCAAAAGCACGUUAUUGCGACUACAGUCACUGGAGGCUGCUGUUCCUUUUCAUCCCGACAUCCCCUCUGUCCCGUGCUCCCUCCUGUCCCAGGGAGUGGGAUAACUGGUGGCAUCCUGGGGACUCUUAGGGAACCUGGAGUUGGGGACGCAUUUGAAGCAGGCCCAGGGCCUGUAAGUGUGUGGAUGCAGCCCACGUGUGUGAUAGUUCACGAAGGAGGCUGUGGGUCCCUGCUGGGUAAUGUGAAGGUUAUUUGAGGAGGAAUGGUUUCCAGGAACUCUCAGAUGACCCCCAGUGCUAGCCCAGCUGCCGAGGUGGGGCCUGGGUGGGUCCUAUGGCUCUCAAGAGGGGAAGCAUGUGGGAAGCGCUAGAGAAACAAGAUUUGAAGUGCCCAGAGCCGGAAGCGAGUCCCUGGGGGAAGUUCUUUUCAUCUUACAACACAUAUGAAACCUGUUAAGGGUUUACCCCCAACUGACACCAAUCUUAAGAAUUCACACGACAUCAGUCUUGAGGCUGAAACAAACUUUUCUAAACUCUGCAUGACAAAGCACAUAUUUCCCUCAGCCAUGGUAGAGAAAAGGCCAUUCUGUACUCUCCAUGGAAAAUGGCAUGAAAUUGUGGGCAUGUGGUGAGCCCAUCAGAGAACACACAGCCAAAAAUAUAAAAGAGCAUUGUAAAAGUGUGUCAGGGAGUUAAUUUAUUAAAAUAUUAUUUUUCUCAGGUGCCUGGGUGGC